GAUGAACGCUGGCGGCGUGCCUAAUACAUGCAAGUCGAGCGAACGGACGAGAAGCUUGCUUCUCUGAUGUUAGCGGCGGACGGGUGAGUAACACGUGGAUAACCUACCUAUAAGACUGGGAUAACUUCGGGAAACCGGAGCUAAUACCGGAUGAUAUUUUGAACCGCAUGGUUCAAAAGUGAAAGACGGUCUUGCUGUCACUUAUAGAUGGAUCCGCGCUGCAUUAGCUAGUUGGUAAGGUAACGGCUUACCAAGGCAACGAUGCAUAGCCGACCUGAGAGGGGGAGGAGACAGCAGGGAAGUGAGACACGGUAUGGAAAACGGCGGGAGGCAGCAGUAGGGAAUGGGCGGGAAAGGGCGAAAGCUCGAAGAAGUAAUGCAGGGUGAGGGAUGAAGGUAGUAGGAGCGUAUGAAUCUGGUAUUAAGGAAGAAAAAAAGUGCAAGGAACUACGCCGGGCUUGAAGGGACAGAAAGAGAAAGAAAAGGCUAAAUACGGG
rnacentral:rRNA from 1 species